AACGAACGCUGGCGGCAGGCCUAACACAUGCAAGUCGAACGCUGUAGCGAUACAGAGUGGCGGACGGGUGAGUAACGCGUGGGAACGUGCCUUUCGGUUCGGAAUAACUCAGGGAAACUUGAGCUAAUACCGGAUACGCCCUAUGGGGGAAAGAUUUAUUGCCGAAAGAUCGGCCCGCGUCCGAUUAGCUGGUUGGUGUGGUAAUGGCGCACCAAGGCGACGAUCGGUAGCUGGUCUGAGAGGAUGAUCAGCCACACUGGGACUGAGACACGGCCCAGACUCCUACGGGAGGCAGCAGUGGGGAAUAUUGGACAAUGGGCGCAAGCCUGAUCCAGCCAUGCCGCGUGAUCGAUGAAGGCCUUAGGGUUGUAAAGAUCUUUCAGUGGGGAAGAUAAUGACUGUACCCACAGAAGAAGCCCCGGCUAACUCCGUGCCAGCCGCCGCCGUAA
rnacentral:rRNA from 1 species